GUGCGCCGGCGCGGCCGCGCCUGACUCUGCCCCGACGCCGCCCGGGCCUGGGCUCGCAGCGGGGCGCGCACGUGGACGCCGGCGCCUUGGGGAAGCGCGGGACCCGGGCUCGCAGCGCCCCAGCGGCAGGCGGCAAGGGAGUGGGAGGCGGCGGGCUGCAGAGCCCCUGGCGUGGGCGCUGCCUUGAACUCCUUACCCCGGCUGCCUGGCUGCCCCCGGCUUCCCAAAGCUCAAAUAAGAGGGGCUGGCGCCGGGGGAGGAGGAGGAGCCAGCGGGCCCGGAGGCGCCAUUCACACCGCGUCGGCCAGGCCGGCGACGCUCGCGCUCGCUCUCUCGGGGCGCCCUUAGCGGGGGCGGGGGGCGGGACCCCAGGAGCCCCCCCCCCCGGCCACCUCCUCGCCAGCUGCCGCGCGCUCCCUCUGCCUCCCCUCCAGCCAGCGCGCGAGUGGGGGCCCUGGCCGGUCCCUAGGAAAUGAUUGUUCUCAGAGUUUCGUGAAAAACAAGUGAUCAGAGAAGAGCCUCCCCCCCUGCUACUUUCCCAACAGAGUCAGCUCAUCCCGCAAGUGCCACCCAGGCCAGGCCAGCGGCGCAGCUGUUCUGCGGCCAGCAUUGCACCAGCAGCUGGGAAUGGGUCACACCCUCUCCUGGGAGCGUGGUUCCUGAGGGAUUUACGGGAUCCUGAGUCUCCCUAGGAUCCUCAGCGUGGCCGUUCAGGCACAGCUGGGUCAAAAUCACCACCACCAGGGCUCAGUGACUCAGUGACUUUACCCUGGAAACCUCAGGCUUCUCUUCUUCGAGGCCGUCCUCUCCCGAGCCAGGGAACGAGCUGUGAGAAGGGGCUGCUGCAGUCCCUCCAUGCUGACCGUCUCAGCCCGAGUUCAGCCAGGAGAGGGACAGCCCUCGUCACCGUGUGACAUGUUUACUUCUAGCCGAGGAAAAUACCGCCGCUGCGGCUGCCCUUCCCUGCGCAGGCACUGGCCUGGAGACGGAUAUUUUAUGUCUUCCUUUGAUGAUUUACAAAUAAAUUAGUGCGAUCGA